UACGUAGGGUGCGAGCGUUAAUCGGAAUUACUGGGCGUAAAGCGUGCGCAGGCGGCUUCGCAAGUCAGACGUGAAAUCCCCGGGCUUAACCUGGGAAUGGCGUUUGAAACUACGGAGCUGGAGUGUGGCAGAGGGAGGUAGAAUUCCACGUGUAGCGGUGAAAUGCGUAGAUAUGCGGAGGAACACCGAUGGCGAAGGCAGCCCCCUGGGUCGACACUGACGCUCAGGCACGAAAGCGUGGGGAGCAAACAGG
rnacentral:rRNA from 1 species